rnacentral:rRNA from 1 species
AUUGAACGCUGGCGGCAGGCCUAACACAUGCAAGUCGAGCGCGCGGCGGACGGGUGAGUAAUGUAUGGGGACUGCCCGAUAGAGGGGGAUAACUACUGGAAACGGUAGCUAAUACCGCAUACUAUCGGAUAACCCAUAUGGGAUUAGCUAGUAGGUGAGGUAAUGGCUCACCUAGGCGACGAUCCCUAGCUGGUCUGAGAGGAUGAUCCGCCAAACGGGGACGGAGACACGGCCCAGACUCCUACGGAGGAAGCAGUGGGGAAUAUGGAACAAGGGGCGCAAGCUGGAUGCAGCCAGGCCGGGGGUAUGAAGAAGGCUCUAGGUUUGUAAAGUACUUUCAGUCGGGAGGCGUUACCGACAGAAGAAGCACCGGCUAACUCCGUGCCAGCAGCCGCGUAAUUC